AUUGAACGCUGGCGGCAGGCCUAACACAUGCAAGUCGAACGAGUGGCGGACGGGUGAGUAAUGUCUGGGAAACUGCCCGAUGGAGGGGGAUAAGUACUGGAAAAGGUAGCGAAUACCGCAUACCAGCGGCUGUGGCCAGAUGGGAUUAGCUAGUGGGUGGGGUAACGGCUCACCUAGGCGACGAUCCCUAGCUGGUCUGAGAGGAUGACCAGCCACACUGGAACUUAGACACGGUCCAGACUCCUACGGGAGGCAGCAUUGGGGAAUAUUGCACAAUGGGCGCAAGCCUGAUGCAGCCAUGCCGCGUGUAUGAAGAAGGCCUUCGGGUUGUAAAGUACUUUCAGCGAGGAGGCGUUACUCGCAGAAGAAGCACCGGCUAACUCCGUGCCAGCAGCCGCGGUAAUAC
rnacentral:rRNA from 1 species